rnacentral:rRNA from 1 species
UACUGGGCGUAAAGGGUGAGUAGGCGGUUGCAUAUGUCAGAUAGUAAAAGGCACAGGCUCAACUUGUGUUAGCAUUUGAAACUGUGCGACUUGAGUGCAGGAGAGGUAAGUGGAAUUCCUAGUGUAGCGGUAGAAAUGCGUAGAUAUUAGGAGGAACACCAGUGGCGAAGGCGACUUACUGGACUGUAACUGACGCUGAGUCAACGAAAGCGGUGGGUAGA